UACAGGGGGGGCAAGCGUUGUUCGGAAUUACUGGGCGUAAAGGGUUCGUAGGUGGCCACUUAAGUCAGACGUGAAAUCCCUCAGCUUAACUGGGGAACUGCGUCUGAUACUGAGUGGCUUGAGUGCAGGAGAGGAAUGCGGAAUUCCAGGUGUAGCGGUGAAAUGCGUAGAUAUCUGGAGGAACACCGGUGGCGAAGGCGGCAUUCUGGACUGUAACUGACACUGAGGAACGAAAGCCAGGGGAGCAAACGGGAUUAGAUACCCCGGUAGUCCUGGCCCUAAACGAUGAAUGCUUGGUGUGGCGGGUAUCGAUCCCUGCCGUGCCGAAGUUAACGCGAUAAGCAUUCCGCCUGGGGAGUACGGUCGCAAGGCUGAA
rnacentral:rRNA from 1 species